rnacentral:rRNA from 1 species
CAGUCGCGCGGUAAUACAGAGGGUGCGAGCGUUAAUCGGAUUUACUGGGCGUAAAGCGUGCGUAGGCGGCUUCUUAAGUCGGAUGUGAAAUCCCUGAGCUUAACUUAGGAAUUGCAUUCGAUACUGGGAAGCUAGAGUAUGGGAGAGGAUGGUAGAAUUCCAGGUGUAGCGGUGAAAUGCGUAGAGAUCUGGAGGAAUACCGAUGGCGAAGGCAGCCAUCUGGCCUAAUACUGACGCUGAGGUACGAAAGCAUGGGGAGCAAACAGGAUUAGAUACCCCUGUAGUCCCUGUCUCUUAUACA